GCGGAAGUAGUUCAGUGGUAGAAUACAACCUUGCCAAGGUUGGGGUCGCGGGUUCGAAUCCCGUCUUCUGCUCCA
rnacentral:tRNA from 2 species